rnacentral:sRNA from 1 species
GCCAGGUGCAGUGGCGCAGGCCUGUAAUCCUAGUAACUUGGGAGGCUGAGGUAAGGGAAUUGCAAGUUUGAGUCCACCCUGGGUAAUUUAGUGAGACCCUGCCUCAA